GACGAACGCUGGCGGCGUGCUUAACACAUGCAAGUCGAACGGAAAGGCCCUGCUUUUGUGGGGUGCUCGAGUGGCGAACGGGUGAGUAACACGUGAGUAACCUGCCCUUGACUUUGGGAUAACUUCAGGAAACUGGGGCUAAUACCGGAUAGGAGCUCCUGCUGCAUGGUGGGGGUUGGAAAGUUUCGGCGGUUGGGGAUGGACUCGCGGCUUAUCCGCUUGUUGGUGGGGUAGUGGCUUACCAAGGCUUUGACGGGUAGCCGGCCUGAGAGGGUGAACGGCCACAUGGGGACUGAGAUACGGCCCAGACUCCUACGGGAGGCAGCAGUGGAGAAUAUUGCACAAUGGGCGGAAGCCUGAUGCAGCAACGCCGCGUGCGGGAUGACGGCCUUCGAGUUGUAAACCGCUUUCGCCGGUGACGAAGCGUGAGUGACGGUAAUGGGUAAAGAAGCACCGGCUAACUACGUG
rnacentral:rRNA from 1 species